rnacentral:rRNA from 1 species
UGCGUAGGGGGCUAGCGUUGUCCGGAAUCAUUGGGCGUAAAGCGCGUGUAGGCGGCCCGGUAAGUCCGCUGUGAAAGUCCAGGGCUCAACCCUGGGAUGCCGGUGGAUACUGUCGGGCUCGAGUCCGGAAGAGGCGAGUGGAAUUCCUGGUGUAGAGGUGAAAUUCGUAGAUAUCUGGAGGAACACCGGUGGCGAAGGCGGCAUCCUGGACCGGUAUUGACGCUGAGGCGCGAAAGCCAGGGGAGCAAACGGG